UCCAUCAUGGCAGUGGAAACUGAAAGGCUUGAGUAUGGUAGGGGCAGAGGGAAUUCCCGGUGUAGCGGUGAAAUGCGUAGAUAUCGGGAAGAACACCAGUGGCGAAGGCGCUCUGCUGGGCCAUUACUGACGCUCAUGGACGAAAGCCAGGGGAGCGAAAGGGAUUAGAUACCCCUGUAGUCCUGGCCGUAAACGAUGAACACUAGGUGUCGGGGGAAUCGACCCCCUCGGUGUCGUAGCUAACGCGUUAAGUGUUCCGCCUGGGGAGUACGCACGCAAGUGUGAAACUCAAAGGAAUUGACGGGGGCCCGCACAAGCGGUGGAGUAUGUGGUUUAAUUCGAUGCAACGCGAAGAACCUUACCAGGGUUUGACAUCCUGCGAACCUCUUAGAAAUUUGAGGGUGCCUUCGGGAAUGCAGUGACAGGUGGUGCAUGGCUGUCGUCAGCUCGUGUCGUGAGAUGUUGGGUUAAGUCCCGCAACGAGCGCAACCCACGUUUUUAGUUGCCAGCAUUUAGUUGGGCACUCUAGAAAGACCGCCGGUGAUAAACCGGAGGAAGGUGUGGAUGACGUCAAGUCAUCAUGCCCCUUACACCCUGGGCUACACACGUACUACAAUGCUACGGACAAAGGGCAGCAAACUCGCGAGAGCUAGCAAAUCCCAUAAACCGUGGCUCAGUUCAGAUCGUAGGCUGCAACUCGCCUACGUGAAGUAGGAAUCGCUAGUAAUCGCAGGUCAGCAUACUGCGGUGAAUACGUUCCCGGGCCUUGUACACACCGCCCGUCACACCAUGGAAGUUGGCCAUGCCCGAAGUCGUUACUCCAACCCUUGUGGAGGAGGACGCCGAAGGUGGGGCUAAUGACUGGGGUGAAGUCGUAACAAGGUAGCCGUA
rnacentral:rRNA from 1 species